CAUGCGGGAUUCGAAGUACAACCAUGCCUCGCGAUAGUGCAGGCGCCCACGCGCCACGGCGCGCUCGGCGAUCGCAUCGGCAAGCGCAUGCUGAGCGUCGAUGCCGGCAGCCGAGACAUUCAGGCUUGCGAGCGGCGAGAUCGGGAACCGGCCAUUGAAUUUCGUGAACGCAUCGCCCGAGCCGUAUGGGAUGGGAGCAUCGAAGCCGUAUCGGAUUCUCCCGUCGCCCAGUUCGCGGAAGCGCGUGCCGUGUCCGAACACUUCGUGCGCCACGACCAGGAACAAGUGAUCCUGUG
rnacentral:misc_RNA from 1 species